UAACGCGUGGGUAACCUGCCUUAUACAGGGGGAUAACAGUCAGAAAUGGCUGCUAAUACCGCAUAAGCGCACAGAGCUGCAUGGCUCAGUGUGAAAAACUCCGGUGGUAUAAGAUGGACCCGCGUUGGAUUAGCUAGUUGGUGGGGUAACGGCCCACCAAGGCGACGAUCCAUAGCCGGCCUGAGAGGGUGAACGGCCACAUUGGGACUGAGACACGGCCCAG
rnacentral:rRNA from 1 species